UACAGAGGUCUCAAGCGUUGUUCGGAUUCAUUGGGCGUAAAGGGUGCGUAGGCGGCGCGGUAAGUCGGGUGUGAAAUCUCGGGGCUUAACUCCGAAACUGCAUUCGAUACUGCCGUGCUUGAGGACUGGAGAGGAGACUGGAAUUUACGGUGUAGCGGUGAAAUGCGUAGAUAUCGUAAGGAAGACCAGUGGCGAAGGCGGGUCUCUGGACAGUUCCUGACGCUGAAGCACGAAGGCCAGGGGAGCAAACAGG
rnacentral:rRNA from 1 species